ensembl:lncRNA
AAUCAGAAGAGAGAAUACAAGUGUCAAGGAAAAUCCUCGCCGCGGGGCACCGUCAGCAGGGGCUGAGGGCUGCAGGCUGGGGGGUGGCCAUGCUGAGGCCCCACCCAAGACGGGUGGACAGAACCUGCCCAGAGACCCCCAAGGGGGUCCCUGCCAGCUGGGCUCACACCUGCCCACGGCCAGCCAGGCGUAGGUCCCAGAAUCCACCACCAGAUGGCCACACAAGCCCACAGAAGGGCUGCAGGCGCGAGGACCCUGAGGUCCGGCGGGUGAUCCCUGCUCGCGUCUGCCAGUGCGGGGGAGAAAGCCUUCCGCAGCUGGACCUGUGCUCCCGUGGGGGUCUGACCACAUCCUGCCAGCGCCUCCCCGGGGUUCACCCUGGGGCUCAUCCCGCCUCCUUUAGCCCCUCGCCUGCUCCCUGCCUGGGGUGCGGGUGCCUGGGGUGGGGCUCCCCACCCCACUCCGCUGGGGUGUGGACCCUCCAGCAGCCCUGGGCUGGCCCCAGGCUGCCCGGUUGUCAGUGGGCACACAGCUGGCGGGGGGUCCCAGUUCCAGCCUCUGAGGCCCAGGCGCUGGGAGGCGAGAGCCUGUCUCGGGGCGGGGUAGGCCGGUGUCCAGGACUCCCCAUGGGCCAGGAUGGGCCGGAGGCGGUUGCCUGCAGGGUCUCCAAGGUGCCUGGGAGGCUAGGCAGGCAGCCAGGAGCCCCUGAGGCGGCGGUGGGGUGCAUGGGGGGCGAUCUGUGCCAAGUGCCCACCGCCCUGGGCCUGGGGUGGGGCCGUCCGGGCCGUGGGCAGAGCUGCUGCUUUUGGCUGACCUCGCGGUGCUGCCAUGGAAACAAGCCUGGACCCACCUGUAGCCCACAACGCCCGGCCUCAUCCUUCUCAGAGCCGGUCAGACAGACACACCCGGUGUUGGUGUAUGUGCUGGGCACGGAGCCUGGGGCUGCUCAGGGCAGGCUCUCUGGAUGUGGGACCGGGCCCCAAGGCCCGCACCUCUCAGCCCUGGGGCCCAGCCCUUGCUCCGUGGAGCCAGGCUGUGUCCUGGUGAGGUGGGGUUUUGGGGCGCAGCACCAAUCGCUGGUCGGGGGUGAAGUGGACCAUUGUGGCUCUGGGGUGGGCCUCAGAAGUCAGGGAAGUGGGCAGGGCCUGGGCGUGGCGGGGCUCCCAGGGUGGCAGCUGCAGGCUGGGAACAGCUAAGGCUCCCGCGCUGAUCUUGGGGUGUGCCCCUCCCCAGGGAGCAGGGACCAACACUCACCCACCCACCCAGCCAGCCACCCACCCAGCCAGCCACCCACCCAGUCACCCACCCACCCAGCCAGCCACCCACUCAGUCACCCACCCACCCAGCCAGCCACCCACCCAGUCACCCACCCGGCCAGCCACCCACCCACCCAGCCACCCACCCAGUCACCCACCCGGCCACCCACCCACCCGGUCACCCACCCAGCCAGCCACCCACCCGGUCACCCACCCACCCAGCCAGCCACCCACCCAGUCACCCACCCACCCACCCAGCCACCCACCCAGCCAGCCACCCACCCAGUCACCCACCCAGCCACCCACCCACCCACCCAGCCACCCACUCAGUCACCCACCCACCCAGCCAGCCACCCAGCCACCCACCCAGCCAGCCACCCAGCCAGCCACCCAGCCAGCAACCACGCAGCCACAAGAGGCACUUACCUUACACACCAGCCUACCAGCCCCACCAGCCCACCAGCUUAUGACCAUUCCAACACUGGUCACCUCUCCAACCUCCCUGCUGGCAUUGACCUGAGAUGCCCCAGGAUCCUUGGGUGCCCAACCUGGCCUGCUGGGCAGUUGGCUCCUGGGGGCAGGUGGUCAGCAGGAGGGGGCAGGUAGGGAGCCCCCAUUCCCCCUGGCCAGGCCUGCUCUCUGCAGCCCUCCCUGACCCACCCUGACCCUACUCCCUCCAACCACCGAUGGCUUUCCAGCAGGGGAGACCUCCGCCCCCCCGCCCCACCGGGAAAUAGCACGGGGCCCACAUCAGUGACAGGGGGCAGGCUCACCCCUGGCGGAGGCUCCUUGGGGCCCCUGCUGUGUGCAGGGAGCUGUUCAUUUACCCCAGGAACUGGGCACAAGUUAUAAAAAUGGUAAUUUCUUGGAGAUUCAAUUACAUGUUUUCAUUGUUACCCUUGGUAAUCAAGGAAACGACUUUUAAAGAGAGUCUGGGAUG